rnacentral:lncRNA from 1 species
GCCAAGACCUGUUUAAAGUUGGUCUGGUUCUGCUGUUGGGUUCAGCUGACAAAAAAAAAGUUCAGGCUGAUAAAAGAGAAUGACACAGACAGCCAGAAGCAAAGAAAGCAGAGAAACUAAUAUUAUAUUUCUGGGCUUUUGUUUUUCUUAUUUCAACCAUAAUUAAGCUGCAGGACCAAGUUCUUGCAGAGGAAACUUUCGGGGUUGGAGCCACCUGACUUUCUAGGUCAUGGCUAGAGUGCUGAGAAUGGAUUUCAAGUUCAUCAGUUGUGGCAGCACACAUCCCUGGUCUUGAUCCCUGAGUGACGAUUAAGAGAGUACAGUGCCUGCAUCCUAACAAGUUGCCUGCAUACGUCUAUGACAGUUAUAAACUCACUUGAAGGCUAUAGAAAAAAAUGGAAAGUAUGGCUCAUGUUUUGAAGAAUUUGCUCAUGGAAAACUGGAGAAAGUAUGUCAUCCAGACACAAAGAUACCAGUGCAGAAGCAAUUGCCUUCAAAUUUUGGAGUCAUGCUUAUAUAUAUUUGGAAGACAAAUAUAAGAAAACACU